rfam:Picea glauca, whole genome shotgun sequence.
GUCAGGAUGGCCGAGUGGUCUAAGGCGCCAGACUCAAGUUCUGGUCCUCGAAAGAGGGCGUGGGUUCAAACCCCACUUCUGACA